AGUGAACGCUGGCGGUAGGCCUAACACAUGCAAGUCGAACGGCAGCACAGUAAGAGCUUGCUCUUACGGGUGGCGAGUGGCGGACGGGUGAGGAAUACAUCGGAAUCUACUUUUUCGUGGGGGAUAACGUAGGGAAACUUACGCUAAUACCGCAUACGACCUACGGGUGAAAGCAGGGGAUCUUCGGACCUUGCGCGAUUGAAUGAGCCGAUGUCGGAUUAGCUAGUUGGCGGGGUAAAGGCCCACCAAGGCGACGAUCCGUAGCUGGUCUGAGAGGAUGAUCAGCCACACUGGAACUGAGGCACGGUCCAGACUCCUACGGGAGGCAGCAGUGGGGAAUAUUGGACAAUGGGCGCAAGCCUGAUCCAGCCAUACCGCGUGGGUGAAGAAGGCCUUCGGGUUGUAAAGCCCUUUUGUUGGGAAAGAAAAGCAGCAGGUUAAUACCCCGCUGUUCUGACGGGACCCAAAGAAUAAGCACCGGCGAACUGCGU
rnacentral:rRNA from 1 species